rnacentral:tRNA from 1 species
GGGGAUGUAGCUCAGCUGGGAGAGCACCUGCUUUGCAAGCAGGGGGUCGGCGGUUCGAGCCCGCUCAUCUCCACCA